UACAGAGGGUGCGAACGUUGCUCGGAAUCACUGGGCGUAAAGCGCGUGUAGGCGGGCUGGAAAGUCAGAUGUGAAAGCCCUGGGCUCAACCCAGGAACUGCAUUUGAAACUCCCAGUCUAGAGUAGUGGAGAGGGAAGCGGAAUUCCUGGUGUAGAGGUGAAAUUCGUAGAUAUCAGGAGGAACACCGGUGGCGAAGGCGGCUUCCUGGACACUUACUGACGCUGAGACGCGAAAGCGUGGGUAGCAAACAGG
rnacentral:rRNA from 1 species